UACGUAGGUGGCAAGCGUUGUCCGGAAUCAUUGGGCGUAAAGAGCGCGCAGGCGGCCCGGCAAGUCGGGUGUGAAAUCCCGGGGCUCAACCCCGGGACUGCAUUCGAUACUGCCGGGCUAGAGGUAGGUAGGGGAGAUCGGAAUUCCUGGUGUAGCGGUGAAAUGCGCAGAUAUCAGGAGGAACACCGGUGGCGAAGGCGGAUCUCUGGGCCUUACCUGACGCUCAGGCGCGAAAGCUAGGGGAGCGAACAGG
rnacentral:rRNA from 1 species